rnacentral:rRNA from 1 species
UAAAGCGUGCGCAGGCGGUUAUAUAAGACAGAUGUGAAAUCCCCGGGCUCAACCUGGGAACUGCAUUUGUGACUGUAUAGCUGGAGUGCGGCAGAGGGGGAUGGAAUUCCGCGUGUAGCAGUGAAAUGCGUAGAUAUGCGGAGGAACACCGAUGGCGAAGGCAAUCCCCUGGGCCUGCACUGACGCUCAUGCACGAAAGCGUGGGGAGCAAACAGGAUUAGAUACCCUAU